AACUUCUAAUCAAAUGCUGAUUGGAUAAAAUGCUUCUUAAUGUUUCCUGAGCCUUUCUUGUGUUUUGAGAGAAAGUUUUUGGAUCACCCCAACAGAAAAUUUGUUACAAUUAGCAUUGCCACCUGCGGUUUCCCAGAGCUGAUAUUAAUAUACAAUCUUUCUAUAUACGAGUCCAGUUACACGAGAAAAAAAGCGAAGAGUGAGGAAGGUUGUUCGACUAGCCAAAUCAAGGGAUAGCCGGGUGCUGGUGGGUUGACGAGUUCGUCUUGUUGACCUGUCGGCAUGCUUCCGGAUGCUUUUAAACGGGUGUCGGGAGCAGACGGCAUCUUUACUUCGAACAAAGUUAAGUGCCUGAAAUUUCUUGCAUGGAAUAAUGAAAUAGGACUUCGGUUCUAUUUUGUUGGUUUUCGGAUCCGAAGUAGUGGUUAAGAGGGACAGACAGGGGCAUUUGUGUGGCUGUGUUAGAAGUGAAAUUCUGGGAUCGCCGCCAGACAAGCUACAGCGAAAUCAUUUGCUAAGAACGUUUUCAUCGAUCAGGAGCAAAAGUCAGAGUUCCGAACACGUUCGGAUACCGUCGUAGUUCUGACCAUAAGCGAUGACAACAGACAAUCCGCGUUUGUUCUAUAAUUGACAUCGCGGGCAGUCCCCGGGAAACCUUUAAGUCUUUGGGCUCCGGGGGGAGCAUGAUUGCAAAGCUGAAACUUAAAGGAAUUGACAGAAGGGCACCGCCAGGAAUGAAGCCCGCAGUUUAAUUCGACUCAAUACGGGAAAANNNNNNNNNNNNNNNNNNNNNNNNNNNNNNNNNNNNNNNNNCAUUGUGAGGAUUGACAGAUUGAUAGCCCUUUUUUGAUUCGGUGGGUGGUGAAGCAUGGCCGUUCUUAGUCGAUGGAGCGAUUUGUCUGGUUAAUUCCGAUAACGAACAAGACUUUAACCUGCUAAAUAGUAGAUUUGUCCUCUGUGCUCGUUUAGGGCGUGGCUCUUAUUGCUUCUUUAUGGAGUAGUGUGAUCUUAAUCCGGCGGGUGCGGUGCCGGUUUUUUCUUCUUAUAGGGACAAGCGGCACACUUAAGCCGCAUGAAAUUGAGCAAUAACAGGUCUGUGAUGCCCUUAGAUGUCCUGGGCUACACGUGUGCUACAAUGACGGUGCCAGCGAAUCUGGAAACCUGACUCGAAAGGAUUGGGCAAACUGUUUCAUCAUCGUCGUGACUGAGAUCAGGGCUUGCAAUUAUUCCCCAUAAACGAGGAAUUCCUGGUAAGUGGAAGUCAUAAGCUUGCACUGAUUACGUCCCCGCUUUUUGUGUACACCGCCAAUGAGAAACACUGCUAUUCUCACUAGAACUUCAUGN
rnacentral:ncRNA from 1 species